GGGAGAGGGGGUGGGGAAUGCUUGUCCUCCCGAUUGUUGAUUGGCGGAGUCGGUUGGCUUGAUGACGGGACACUGUGGCGUCACAAUGGGAGAGUGCAUAUCGCUGGCCGUUCAUUGGUUAGCCCGGCCGUCACUCAAUCUCUAGGCCGAAAGCCAUCACUUUCGGACGAGCCGAAGGUCGGCAUGUGCUCUACUCCUGCGUCAUUCUGAGUGCGGGCGGCAAUUUAAAAGAAUUAUUAUUCAGAGUUUUUUUGUAAACUCGUUUGAAAGUGUAGCCAAAGACCAGGAACAAUCAGUUAUGUUUAAAAGUGAGUUCCAUCCUCCCCAGAAUGCUUUUAAAUUUGGGGGAUUUUCUUCAUUACAACGUUCAGAUUUAGCCAAAUCGAAAUAAUUCCUAGUUUUGCAAUUGCAAGAGUUUUGUUCUUUCUCUAGAGGGAGGGUUUAUUUUCUUUUUGCAAGAAAGAGAAUGCCAAAGAGAACUUUGAAUGCCUGUUGUUCCAUGGAAAAAUAACUGCAGAAUAAGUCCACGAAAGGUUCUGCCUGACCGCAAAGGGAUCUGGGAGCACGAGUACACAAAUCAUUAAAAGUUGCAAUGCAGCUCUUCAGCUGGCCUCCAGAUGCUGAGCCAUUGGGACCGUCACCUAUUCUAAAAUGUUAUUCGAAGUCAGUCAGGGCAGCAAUUAGACUACAACAACUGACUUCAGUGCCUUUGGGAUAUGGAGAGGAAAAAAAAUACAAAUUUCAUGCUUCCAAUCACUAUCAAGUGAACACGCUGCAAAAAGCAUGAAUCAACAUCAGGAAUAUGAAAAUUGGACUUCAAAAACUGAAGCAAGGCAGCAGCUGGAAGUGUGUUGAGUUGAGAUGCUGCAAGUAUAUACUGAAAACGAACUGUAUGAAAAGAAUGAGAAAACCAGCACAAGAAUUACAGAAAUAAUUAUAAGGAAAAUAACAUAGCAUUAUUUGAGUCACCAGGAAAGGUUGCAUCUGGAAAAGCAUAUUGUGAAGAGUUAAAAGGCAGUUACAAGUAUGAUUGAAGAUGGGAUGGAAUUUGCAGAUGCAACAUAAACAAUCCACCUGCACAGUGACUAAGUGUGGACUGCACGGAUCACCAACUUCCUGAACAGGAAGAGCACUCAGAAGAGAAAUAUCACUUAAUAAUUAAAUUUACAUUUAGAAAACAAGAAGUUAAAUUGUACCAUUUUACUAUUUUUACAGGGUCCUUCUUUGGCAUGAUUUGGUUCAACCAUGGCUCAAUUACUGGAAACUGAUCCACCAACUGAUUCUUAAUGCCUUUAAUAACAGAUGUUUUCAGCUGGAUGCAGUUUGAAACAUUUUCCUUUUCAUCAAAUCUGUUAAGAUAGAAAAUAAAUGAAUCAUUGUCACUGCUGACGUUUUCUAAAACACAACAGGCACCCUCCACUCCUACUCCAAAUAAAUACAAUCAUUUGGACACCG